rnacentral:rRNA from 1 species
AUAUCAGUCAUGCAUAGCAUAUCAAUAAGCGGAGGAAAAGAAACUAACAAGGAUUCCCCUAGUAACGGCGAGUGAAGCGGGAAGAGCUCAAAUUUGAAAUCUUAAAGGGUUUCCCUUUACGAAUUGUAGUUUAAAGAAGUGUUUUCUGUUAGAGUUUCGGUAAAAGUUCUUUGGAAUAGGACAUCAUAGAGGGUGAGAAUCCCGUAUUUGACCGUUAUUUCUAGCUUUGUGAUACACUUUCAAAGAGUCGGACUGUUUGGGAAUGCAGGUCCAAAAUGGGUGGUAAAUUUCAUCUAAAGCUAAAUAUUGGCGAGAGACCGAUAGCGAACAAGUACCGUGAGGGAAAGAUGAAAAGAACCUUGAAAAGAGAGUUAAACAGUACGUGAAAUUGACAAAAGGGAAGCGUUCGACACCAGUGUUGUUUAAUUGAAAAUCAAUUAACUAAUUUUUGAUUUUAAAUAGUACUGACUUUAUCAGCUUGCUAUUUUCUUUUCGGAAAUUAUUUAAUGCACUUUUCAGUUAACAAGUCAACAUCAAUUUCUUUUGUUGUAAAAAGGUAAGAGGAAGGUGGCUUAUGCUUCGGUAUAAGUGUUUAUAGCCUUUUACCUCUGCAAUCGGAGAGAUUGAGGUCUGCAGCGUAGAUCCUUCGGGGUUAGAUACAUUUGUGCUAAGUUAUAGUAUUUUAUAGACAACUUGUUGACUAUGAUUUAUCAUGUAGCUUACUCGCUUAUCGCUAUUUUACCUACGCUUAGGAUGUUGACGAUCAGCUGAGCGCG